AGAGAAUUUUCUCUCUUUUUUAUCUUUUCCUGCUCUAGGGUUCAGCCCUAUUCUACUGCAGGCAGCGGCUUCCCCUGCCCGCUUCCUCUCUAGCCUGGAAGUGGGUUUUUCUCCCUCCCCACUUUCGGGAUGGGUUGUACAUAUAGGUUUUUCAUUUUUCAGGUGCAGGCCAGGUCCAGUGAACAAUGAGAGGGAUGUUAGUUGACCUGCUUAGUUUUCGUCAAUGGGUUGCAUGCUUGGUUGAUCUGUUUGGGUUCUGGGGGACUCGAGGUUGGAAGUCU
rnacentral:misc_RNA from 1 species